rnacentral:rRNA from 1 species
UGGGGAAUAUUGCACAAUGGGCGAAAGCCUGAUGCAGCAACGCCGCGUGAGGGACGACGGCCUUCGGGUUGUAAACCUCUUUUAGCAAGGAAGAAGCGAAAGUGACGGUACUUGCAGAAAAAGCGCCGGCUAACUACGUGCCAGCAGCCGCGGUAAUACGUAGGGCGCAAGCGUUAUCCGGAAUUAUUGGGCGUAAAGAGCUCGUAGGCGGUUUGUCGCGUCUGCUGUGAAAACCCGAGGCUCAACCUCGGGCCUGCAGUGGGUACGGGCAGACUAGAGUGCGGUAGGGGAGAUUGGAACUCCUGGUGUAGCGGUGGAAUACGCAGAUAUCAGGAAGAACACCGAUGGCGAAGGCAGAUCUCUGGGCCGUAACUGACGCUGAGGAGCGAAAGGGUGGGGAGCAAAACAGGCUUGAGAUAACCCUGGUAGUCCACCCCGUAAACGUUGGGAACUAAGUUGUGGGGUCCAUUCCACGGAUUCCGUGACGCAGCUAACGCAUUAAGUUCCCCGCCUGGGGAGUACGGCCGCAAGGC